UCGAGGAUCUUCGGCAAUGGGCGCAAGCCUGACCGAGCGACGCCGCGUGAGCGAUGAAGGCCUUCGGGUUGUAAAGCUCUUUAGUGGGGGAGAAAAGCGCAAGCUUGAUCGAUCCCAAGAAUAAGCACGGGCUAAGUUCGUGCCAGCAGCCGCGGUAAGACGAACCGUGCGAACGUUAUUCGGAAUCACUGGGCUUAAAGGGCGCGUAGGCGGCUUGCCAAGUCCGGGGUGAAAGACUCCAGCUUAACUGGAGAAGUGCCUUGGAUACUGACGAGCUCGAGCGAGGUAGGGGCAGUUGGAACUUCCGGUGGAGCGGUGAAAUGCGUUGAUAUCGGAAGGAACGCCGGUGGCGAAAGCGAACUGCUGGACCUCUUCUGACGCUGAGGCGCGAAAGCCAGGGGAGAGAACGGGAUUAGAUACCCCCGUAGUCC
rnacentral:rRNA from 1 species